rnacentral:lncRNA from 1 species
GCUGCUGCUGCUGCUGCGUCAGUGCAGUGUGGUGGUAGGGACGACGAGUUGGUAUGAGAGAGAGGGCAGGGGACGGUGCAAAUGGAGGAAAGAGAGGAGGAUUCCGCCCUUCCUUUCCGUUUGGUGCUAGCCGCUCCCCUAGCGUGGCGUUUCCUUUGCCUGUUUGGGGCUUGGUUUGCUCUUUUUUAGGGGAUCGAUGGACGGACGGACGGACGGAGGCUUUCUCUCGCUGCCGCUACCGGUGAUAGUUUGAUAGAGAGAUGAGAUGUGAACGGAGGGGAGCUGCCGCGCUUGGGUUCUACUCAGUCAGAGGACGUGUGAGAGCAGGACCCUUCAUUCAUUCAUCUUUUGUAGGGGAUGGAUGGACGGACGGAAUGACGGGCUGGGGCAGGGAAAAAGUACGGUGCGGGAAAAGCUUGGAAAGGGAUGGGUGCAUGGCCGCAGGGAAAAAAGAGAAGAGAGAGGGGGAGCUGCUGUGUGCUCGAUGGAUGCUUUUCUGUUUUGUACUUUGGGUUUUUUCGUGUUUGUGUGUGUGCGUGUGUGGAGUGUUUUGCUGCCUCGUUUCAGCUGACAUGAUGUGUUCACAG